UACAGAGGGGGCAAGCGUUGUUCGGAAUUACUGGGCGUAAAGGGCGCGUAGGCGGCCUUCUAAGUCGAACGUGAAAUCCCCAAGCUUAACUUGGGAACUGCGUCGGAUACUGGAUGGCUUGAAUUCGGGAGAGGGAUGCAGAAUUCCAGGUGUAGCGGUGAAAUGCGUAGAUAUCUGGAGGAAUACCGGUGGCGAAGGCGGCAUCCUGGACCGACAUUGACGCUGAGGAGCGAAAGCUAGGGGAGCAAACGGG
rnacentral:rRNA from 1 species